AGUGAACGCUGGCGGUGUGCCUAAUACAUGCAAGUCGAGCGAACACAUAAUAAGCUCUUGCCUUUACGGGUGGCGAGUGACGGACGGGUAAGAAAUAGAUCACAAUCUAAUUUUUCUUGGGGGACAACGGGAGGAAACAGCCAAUAAUAGCUAAUACGACGUACGGGUUAAAGCAAGAGUGCUUGAGGCCUUUCGCGAUUGAAUGAGCCGAUGCCGGAUUAGCUAGUUGGCGUGGUAAGGGCACACCAAGGCAACGAUCCGUAGCUGGUCUGAGAGGAUGAUCGGCCACACUGGAACUGAGACACGGUCCAGACUCCUACGGGAGGCAGCAGUGGGGAAUCUUCCACAAUGGGCGAAAGCCUGACCGAGCCAUACCGCGUGGGUGAUGAAGGCCUUCGGGUCGUAAAGCUCUUUUGUUGGGAAAGAAAAGAAGCAGAUUAAUCUAUCGAUGUUCUGACGGUACCUAAAGAAUAAGCCACGGCUAACUUCGUG
rnacentral:rRNA from 1 species